AAUGUGGUUGUUUAAUGCAGCGACGCCUUGUAUAUCCUACUGUUAAAUACCAAUGCGCGUUUCUGAUGUUAAGCAUCAGAAAAUAUGAUUUAGGAUUAUCCGUGUAAGAGUAGCUGCCGGGGCGAACAAAAAAUGAUGUAGCAGAAAUAGACACAUUCUAGAAGCAUUGGCCCGUACAAGAGGCGCACGGGGCCCUCCACUACGAUUGAGUAUUAACGUUUUGAGUUUCGGUCCUGCCUGUCUUUGAAAAUAUUAGCAUAAUCACAACGUAUGCAUUUGAUGUGGUUUUGAAUGUGAAAAAGCAGAUUUCCUUAGUUAAUAUUUUGUGCGUUAUAGUGAGGAAAGCGCGCCUACUUUUGAGAUCAAUGUCCACCGAUCAGCCUGAAAUCCAAUCAGUACAUGUGGCCAGGCUGUGCCCAGUAUAGACUUUGCAGUGCAAAUUCUCGAUGUUGCCGUGAUCCCUGAAUCACGUUAGUUUGAAAGUCAAAUACAAACAUCUCGAAAGAUCUUUUGUUUUAAAAAUCGAUCGAUACACCGAACUCAAAUGCUGCAGAUAGCUUGGCUCUUUGUCUCUCCUAACAGUGGGUGGUAGACUAGGGAAAGGAAGAAAAUGGCGAGUCGCAAUCAUUUACAUUUUCUUCCGGUAUAUCGAUCGAUUUUGUCUGCCUUCCACUGCGGUCCGCAGAAAUUGAAGCGCAGAGUCAUAGGAAAACAUUCUAUGAUCACUAUUGAGAGUGUUCGCAUAAAUGGCUUCGUAUAUAUACAUAAUUAAGCCCGUGUCCUGUUUUCUGAUGGAACAGCACACAUUUCUGCCACUUCAUUUAACAGUACGCAGAAACCUGUAAAUAAAUUAAUAAAUAAAUUAAGUCUAGAGAUUUAUGCAUACAAGCAGGGAAUCUUUUCUUAAUUCCCAAGUUACUAUUCAUUAAACUCAAGUAAACAGUUAACAACCAUUUAUUUGGGUAUAUCCUGUGUAAUUUUUUAGAAGUCAAAAUGUGCUGAAGAAUACACAGUUCAGGGCUGAUAGCUUUAAAUAUUAUGCUACAUUUUAAAUACAUGUAUUAAAUCUAAGAAAACUCAAGUGCAGCAUUAUUUUAAGUACUUUCGAUAAUUUAUUGACGAUAUGUAAAUAUGAAUAAAUCUAUUCAUUUAUUCAGUUUUCUGUUAUAAAUCUGUCACCCAGCAUUUUGCAAUUGUAAUUCUGCUGACAUAUUUAAGUGACAUCACAGAUCCGUCUCGAAAAAGUAGGUGAUUAAAACGCAGAGAACUCGACAUCACUGUUAAACUGUUAGUGGCCUAGAGCAUACAGUAGUUCCUUUGAAAUGAAGUAAUCUAACGUGUAUACGGAUAUAUUGCUACAAUGAUGUUGUUCCACCAGACCAACUGAACAUAUGCAUAGAUUGUUGAAUUUAAAUAAACGUAUCAUUUAUGUCUCCCUGAGAAUGGAUCUGUCUUCGAUUUACUUAUAAGCAGCUAACGCAGUUAAUCCAGUUUUUUUUUCUAUUCAACGAGCAUUUUCAGAAAUAAUUUAGAAGUCCGGCUUGAUUUCGUGGCAAGCAAAAAUUCAGCACUGUCAGAGAUGUGCCCGAAUUAAAUAGCAAUGAGGUCACCCUCACAGGUAUAAAAAGUGCUGAUUCGUUUCAAUACCAUGGACAGCGAUUUUUCUAACCUCAAACCGUGACUAAGAUCUUUGCAUCCUUCAACGCUUUGAUCUAACUUUACCAACAUGCAACUAUAAAACCUAUGUCCGUUUAAGCCUUUUAGCAAUGAAAUAUAUCUAAAGCUAAAGGUUAAUCCCAGAAUAUUAAUAAUGCUAAAUACAAUGAAUGUGCAUUAUCAAGGCAUCGACCAGAAGGUUUUAACAUACGUGUGUGGAUGUUAAUAGCACCGAGUGGAGAGUUAAUAUUUUGUGGCGAUGAAAAGCGUGUCUUUCUAAAAGUUGAAUUUUCAGUUGUGCUUAAAUGUGAGCUAUGCUGUUACAAUAUGUGCUCGAUUUGGACCCAACACAGAACUGUGUUGGAGGAGAGGGGUUUUGUCAUUCAGUAAUACGUCAAUUAAAAGAAACUGUUUACAAGAUGGUAUUCGCUUAGAAUUUCACUCCUUCAGUUUCAAGGACAUCCUGCUGAUCAGGAUUUGGUUAAUGGAGGAGAACUUCUGGCCCAGCAAUGACGUCAUGGGCCCAAUGUAAUCCUCUUGUGCUGAACCCAAUCAGCAGAUGUGUCGCUUGUCUGGAUGGAGAGCGAUUAAUCCGUUAGACUGGAUCAGAUCAGCAGCAGCGCCAGGACUGGACCAAACUGCCCCUAGUCCGAUAAAGAGACCGGAUAAAUUGCAGAAGCUUUUUCGCCUCUUUAACAGUCUGGGAUGGAGGAGUAGAAGACCAAUCGUUCUUCAGCUGAUUGCAGCUCUAACCGUUGCAGGUGCCUGGGAAGAGUUGCUGAUCCCUUCUCUUCAGUAUUAUAGUACGAGAUGGGCAUGAAAACGGUGAAUGCAGAGAGAUCAAUCGCCUUUUUUCCCCUUCCCCGCUCUAUUCAAGAGAAGCAAAAAUAAAGCCAGCGCAUUGGAGUUCGCUAACAAUGGAUGUGUCAGGGACAUUUUCAUCCGACGUAGAGGCAACCCGGCAAUGGAAUCGAUGGAGGACAACAGCGAACAGACGCACUGAAUGGUCUUGGAUACUGGGCCGAUGAAACGGAACCGGGAAAUAGUACUAAAUCCCAUAAGAGAUUAAACAUGAUAGAGUUGGUCAAAGCAUAAUUUUAUACAAACACAUUUUCAUUCCCCAUAUAGCCGCAAACCUUCGUAACUUAUUGCCCUCCCUUCCAGCUAUCUGUUGGUUAAUAUAAAACCAAAGUCCUUCAAAAUGGCCCAUUGCAUCACCUGAGCUUUGGUGUUCAAUGGAACUAAAGGUCUAUCUUAUUUUUCAGUGCUACAUCGAUGAACAGAAUUGGUGGCAUCCGAAAUCCGAAAGAGCCUAUUAAUAGUCGAACAGUGUAUUUUCACUGACGGUGCUGCAACAUUUUAGUCUAAUGGUAUUGGUGAAGAUUUUAGAGUUUUCUCAGUUGGUCCAUUGCACCAUUUAUUAUAAUUCUGAGGAGAGUUGGCUCUCUUACACUGCAGUAUCGGGUGUUAUUAAAGCGCCCCCCUCAGGCUCAUACUCUUCAUUACCGAUCCGGAAAAUCCAAUCGUUCCAACCGAGUCAGCAACUCUGGCAGCAUCUAUGACGAAAAAUCAGAGUUAACGUUUCGGGUCCGGUGACCCUUCCGCAGCACAGUAGUAUCAGUAUUAAGCAUGUUUACAAUUUUAAACGUACAUUUAUUUCAGCCAUGUAACUAUCUGCUAGCGUGUUUGGAAACAAAGCAAGGCUAGCAUAAAAUUAUCCCCAAUACAAAACAGAAAUCUCGGAUGUGCGUUAAUGGAACGUCUAAACUGCUUCUCAGAACUUCACAGUUAAGAGAUUUCUUUCAGAUGUUCUCGCCUUCCAGGAAGACUUAGCAAGUUUCAUAAACCACAGUGAGAUGAAUGAUCAGGGUCUUUUUUUUUGUUUCACUAGCUGGCCGAGGGAGGAAUAAUGGGCCCAACCUGUUUUCCAAAAGUUCUCAAUUGUGCUUUCUCCUAAAGCACCGCUGCAUAUAAAUGGGGCUUUUGUUAAACGCCUCAUCCAAAGGAUAACACUUGCAACAAUGCGGCACUCUUAUCAGCCCUGCAUUGAAGUGUACAGCGAGAUAAAGUGCUUACGUCCUAGAUACGCGCUUAAAUCGGAAGCGUUUUAACUCAGAGAAUACUUUGAGUGUAACAAUUCAUGGGAUAUAUCUGGAGAACUUAACCUCGUGUAAUUUACCAAACGGGAGUGCAUCACACCAAACCUAUCACUUCUUGUGAAGGAUACGUGGAAGCUUAUAUAUGGAGAUAUGGCUUUUGACGACGUAAAGCGGCUGAAUACGACCAAUAAGUGUCUGCAUGAUAGCCACACAAUACACUGAGUGUGCGAUACUGUUUUGUGAUAGAUAUUGUAAUCCUGUUCAACUAUUUCAAUCCCCAAUUACCUUUUUUGUUAGAUCAGCUUCACAAAUUUGAUAUUGUUAUGUUUCGAAGUCGAUUUUGAAAUAGAUAGUUCCGAAUAAAGAAAGCGGGAUGCUAAAAAUAUGAACAAGGAAGAUUAUACAUGUAGUUCCAUUUCAGAUAGGAUUUCUACAUAAGAUCGCUCUUUGUAAAGAUCAAUUAAUUGCAAUCCAGUGUAUUUUUAGCACGGUAAUGCUUUGUGAAGCUGUUGUUGCUCUCAUUUUAUCAAUCCCACUGCCUCCUGUCCCUUCUUGUGGGUAUCUCACGUUCGGUCUCCACAAGAGUUCAAAUUACAUUAAUGACAUUGCAGCUUCCACCAUUAAUAAAGUUGAAAUCAAGUUUUUGCCA